CCUUGAUGAAAUCAGUGGACAGAGAACUAUGGACACUGAAGGGAAGGUGGACAUGAACGGAUGUGAGCUGGUGGGAAAGCAGCAGCUGUUGGCAGCAAAGGAGGAGGCAAAAUUGGCUGAAGAGGAGACAAGAUGGUACAAGAUAAGACUUGAAGAAUGUCACGGGCAAAUGCGGGAAGCAGAGAUCACUUGGAGACACCAGGUAACCUGCCUUCCUCCUGACACACUGAGUCCUCAGCACCUGAU